CCUACGGGAGGCAGCAGUAGGGAAUCUUCCGCAAUGGACGAAAGUCUGACGGAGCAACGCCGCGUGAGCGAAGAAGGUCUUCGGAUCGUAAAGCUCUGUUGUUAGGGAAGAACAAGUAUCGGAGGAAAUGCCGGUACCUUGACGGUACCUGACGAGAAAGCCACGGCUAACUACGUGCCAGCAGCCGCGGUAAUACGUAGGUUGCAAACGUUGUCCGGAUUUAUUGGGCGUAAAGCGCGCGCAGGCGGUCCUUUAAGUCUGAUGUGAAAUCUUGCGGCUCACCCGCAAGCGGUCAUUGGAAACUGGGGGUGGUGAGUGCAGAAGAGGUAAGCGGAAUUCCACGUGUAGCGGUAAAAUGCGUAGAGAUGUGGAGGAACACCGGUGGCGAAGGCGGCUUGCUGGUCUGUAACUGACGCUGAGGCGCGACAGCGUGGGGAGAAAACGGGACUAGAUACCCUAGUAGUC
rnacentral:rRNA from 1 species